rnacentral:rRNA from 1 species
UGUUUAUGGCACUUUUAAAAUUCCAUACCCACCUUGUGUGCAACGUUUGAAUCUGCUCCGUGCGUCUCCCUCUUUUGGAGUGGGCCGCGGGGAGUAAGAUAUCUUUAAUCCAUUAAUCUGUUUUAGACCAGUUUUGUCUGAAGCAAUGUAUCAUUGAAUUGACCUAAUUCGAAAAUACAACUUUCAACAACGGAUCUCUUGGCUCUCGCAUCGAUGAAGAACGCAGCGAAAUGCGAUACGUAAUGUGAAUUGCAGAAUUCAGUGAAUCAUCGAAUCUUUGAACGCACAUUGCGCUCUCUGGUAUUCCGGAGAGCAUGCUUGUUUGAGUAUCUGUAAAACACCCUCAGCUCCUCUCGUUUCUCCUGUUAAAAGGGAAGGCGAGGGAACUGGACUUGAGUGAUCCCAACGGCAGUUUAAUUGUAAAAGAGAAAACCGCUGGCGGGUCGCUUGAAAUGCAGGUGCGGCUGGACACAUCUUCUGAGCUAUAAGCAUUACUUAUUUAAUCCCGUUAAACGGAUUAUUUCUAUUGCUGCAGCUAACAUAAAGGUUGAUUGUCCUUGUGCCCGACUGAUGCAGGAAAACAAAGAGACACGAUCUCUUUGUUCAACUCGAUCUCAAAUCAAGUAAGACUACCCGCUGAACUUAAGCAUAUCAAUAAGCGGAGGAAAAGAAACUAACAAGGAUUCCCCUAGUAACGGCGAGUGAAGCGGGAUGAGCUCAAAUUUGAAAUCUGGCUGGUUUACCAGUCCGAGUUGUAGUUUAAAGAAGCGUUUUCGGUGGCAGCCUGGGUAUAAAUCCUUUGGAACAGGGUAUCAUAGAGGGUGAGAAUCCCGUCUUUGACUCAGUGCGAUGUUACUAUGUGAUACGUUUUCAAAGAGUCGAGUUGUUUGGGAAUGCAGCUCAAAAUGGGUGGUAAAUUUCAUCUAAGGCUAAA